rfam:Brachypodium distachyon strain Bd21 chromosome 4, whole genome shotgun sequence.
GGAUGCGAUCAUAACAGCACUAAAGCACCGGAUCCCAUCAGAACUCCGAAGUUAAGCGUGCUUGGGCGAGAGUAGUACUAGGAUGGGUGACCUCCUGGGAAGUCCUCGUGUUGCAUUCC